UAAAGCAGAUCAGAGGGUAAAACAAAAAAACAAAAAAUUAACAAAGAAAAGUAAAUUGAUUUAAGCUUAAUUUUGGUCAUUGUGACAGUACGAUGCAGUACGUGUGCAAAAUUCUAGUUUGUUUACUCGCAGUUACAAUUUUAGACUUGAAUAUCUCAAAUUCUACCGAUGAUAUCAUAUCCCUUCUGUUUCCUGACGACUCAGAAUCUUUCGAGAAAUGCAUAAAAAAAUUCACUUUGGAUUUCAUUAGUAACUCUGAUCGAUUUUUCAAGAUUUAUUAAAACUCAAGUAACUGACACAUAAAACAAAAUAAUAAACAACAAAUCACACCAAUAAAUUAACAAAGUCGGCCAUGUGUGCAUUUUGUUUCGAACCGGUGGCAACCCAUGACAGAGUACACAAUCAGUCAAUUCACCUCGGUGCACACGUCCUUGCAGACGCAUCAUCAAAAUUCGCCGUGUUAUCAUUCCACAAUCAGAAUCAAAAUAAAUUCAAUCAUGAGAGCGUUCCAUUUCUAACUACGAAUAAUACCGUAAGCGUCCAUCCUCACGUCUCAAUCCAGUUACCAGUGUAAUAGAAAACAUCGAAGAAGAUAUCGAAAUAACGAAAACAUGUCGACCUCGUUGGGUAUAUUGUGUUUUGCGGCACGCGCCAUCUCGCGGAACAUAGCUCCAGUGCUCCGAAGUCAAAACCGUGACCUGGUUCUAAUGGCACACUUAUGCCGUAAACGUCGUCGUACAAAUCCUAGAUCAGAGGAAUGCCACUGCGAGGAACCAAUCAGGUAUCCCUUGUGUCGCAAGAGACAAAACUGUAUGAAUCCAUGGCAGAAACCUGAUCCCAAAUGCCCACCUCUACCGCUUUGCAAAGACAACAUAUGUGAAAAAGUAGACCCGCGUGCUUGGCAUGAUGAGCAGGAAGCGGGCAAGGAUAUAGAGCGUGCGCAGCGGUUCCAAGCGAGGGAAGAACGACGCGUGCGCAAGUGCCUUGAAUUGCGUCGUAGAUACUGCCCCAAGAAGCGCAAGCGCCGACACAAUGUGUACAAGAGUAACUGUCCGAAAGAUUACAGUGAUAGGCGCCGUUAAUAAUAACAUUGGUUGGCUGGAAACCUGCAGCUUGAUGAGAUGAUGUUGAUGGCGUUUAGCGGAGGCGGCGGUGGCGACAUUUUGGGCCGCGUCGACCGUCGGGACAGCUACAUGAGCAUGCCGGCCCAUGGUUCGCUCAUUUAACUUGCAUUUGUUUGAAAUUGCCAUUUUCAAUACCACCCACGAAUACACAUUAUAAACAUUGUUCAUUUGUGUGUGGUUUUUUUUUUAUUUGUAAUAUUUAUUUGUAAAGAGGUCUAGGAGACUGAGGGGACAUUUGAAUAUUUUGUAGCAAUCGCCGUGGAUUCGACCAAGAUGUUCGGCUGUAAGCACUUUGUGUUCUAAGGAUGUGUCAAUAUGAGAUUCAGAAUUUCCCAAGUCUUUUGAAGGCCUAAAAUAUAGUUAGAUUUUCCCCGUUGACAUCGUCAAGAUGUAAAGGCACUUCCGAAACUUCGCAGAUAGUACGCAAAGACACGCUUCCCCGUCCAAACCCAAGACAUCUAAGCCACUUACCAUAUAUUCAUACAUUGUUUUUCGGUCAAAAUCAACUUCUUCUGUACUCUCACGUCCAUACAAAGGAUCAAAAUUACUAAAAUUAUAAGGUAAGUCAUGGUUUAAGUUGAAUCCCAUACUGAAGUUGAUCAAGCGACGUGGAAAUAUCACAGGGACAGAUACUCCCGAAGUUAUCUUAAAUUUCAAAUUAUAAGACUAGUAUAUAAGGUUAUGUUGUUUGAUCAUAAUUGCAUACCUGAAGUACAGAAUAUUGUUGAAAUAAAACAUACCGUUUGCUGAUA